AAUAGUUGGAUAAUUAGGUAAAAUAACAGUCAUUUUCCUUGCUAUUCCUAACUUGGU
ensembl:miRNA Mir7657 microRNA 7657